GAUGAACGCUGGCGGCGUGCUUAACACAUGCAAGUCGAACGGAAAGGCCCAAGCUUGCUUGGGUACUCGAGUGGCGAACGGGUGAGUAACACGUGGGUGAUCUGCCCUGCACUUCGGGAUAAGCCUGGGAAACUGGGUCUAAUACUGGAUAGGACCACUUCUUGGAUGUUGUGGUGGAAAGUUUUUUCGGUGUGGGAUGAGCUCGCGGCCUAUCAGCUUGUUGGUGGGGUAAUGGCCUACCAAGGCGUCGACGGGUAGCCGGCCUGAGAGGGUGUACGGCCACAUUGGGACUGAGAUACGGCCCAGACUCCUACGGGAGGCAGCAGUGGGGAAUAUUGCACAAUGGGCGCAAGCCUGAUGCAGCGACGCCGCGUGGGGGAUGACGGCCUUCGGGUUGUAAACGCCUUUCGCUAGGGACGAAGCGUUUUGUGACGGUACCUGGAGAAGAAGCACCGGCUAACUACGUG
rnacentral:rRNA from 1 species